AGAGUUUGAUCAUGGCUCAGAUUGAACGCUGGCGGCAGGCCUAACACAUGCAAGUCGAGCGGUAGCACAGGAGAGCUUGCUCUCUGGGUGACGAGCGGCGGACGGGUGAGUAAUGUCUGGGAAACUGCCUGAUGGAGGGGGAUAACUACUGGAAACGGUAGCUAAUACCGCAUAACGUCUUCGGACCAAAGUGGGGGACCUUCGGGCCUCACGCCAUCAGAUGUGCCCAGAUGGGAUUAGCUAGUAGGUGGGGUAAUGGCUCACCUAGGCGACGAUCCCUAGCUGGUCUGAGAGGAUGACCAGCCACACUGGAACUGAGACACGGUCCAGACUCCUACGGGAGGCAGCAGUGGGGAAUAUUGCACAAUGGGCGCAAGCCUGAUGCAGCCAUGCCGCGUGUGUGAAGAAGGCCUUCGGGUUGUAAAGCACUUUCAGCGAGGAAGAAGGGUGGUGUGUUAAUAGCACAUUGCAUUGACGUUACUCGCAGAAGAAGCACCGGCUAACUCCGUGCCAGCAGCCGCGGUAAUACGGAGGGUGCAAGCGUUAAUCGGAAUUACUGGGCGUAAAGCGCACGCAGGCGGUUUGUUAAGUCAGAUGUGAAAUCCCCGCGCUUAACGUGGGAACUGCAUUUGAAACUGGCAAGCUAGAGUCUUGUAGAGGGGGGUAGAAUUCCAGGUGUAGCGGUGAAAUGCGUAGAGAUCUGGAGGAAUACCGGUGGCGAAGGCGGCCCCCUGGACAAAGACUGACGCUCAGGUGCGAAAGCGUGGGGAGCAAACAGGAUUAGAUACCCCGGUAAUCCAA
rnacentral:rRNA from 1 species